UCCUCCUGCUGUGGCCUUCCAAAGUGCUAGGAUUAUAGGCAUGAACAACUACCCCUGGCCUUCAGUAAUUAUUUUAAAGUCUUUUAAAAAUUUUUUCUCUUCCCCUUAAAUUGUCUUUUAGAGUAAGGUUCUUGUUCCUCUAGUCGACAAGAGUAUCUGAGGAAUCACAGAAGAAAGUACAGGCCUUUGAGAGUAGCUUCCUUCGUGGAAAGGCAGAUGAAUACUUAUUGAGCAUCUCCUAUGUCCUAUCAUUUACCCUGCCAUUUUACAGAUGAGAAAGGUUGAGGCUAAGAGAGUAGUGAGUGCCAGAGGUUACUUGCUAGGUAGUGGUGGACUUGGUCCAGAGCCUGGGGCUUCCUACUUUCAUUCCUGGCUGACUGUAUUAAUUGCAUGUGAUGUCUCCAUGGCCAGCAGGAGCCAGAGGUGGCCCACAUGUGCUUUGCAGAGGAAGUUGUGCCGCCACUUUUAUGAGUGACGGCUGGAAUGCUUUUCUUAACUGGAACUUUGUUGAUGAAGAACCUGGUGCUCUGUGGCAGUGCUAACCUGGGGAGCCCGUGCUAAAACCCAAGCAGCAAAACCACCACCCAACCCCCUGUGCUGUUGCCGUGAAUGCUCAUGUUCCUUUCACCUUUCAUCUUGCCUUGUUCCUUUCCCUGUUUUCUCUGCCCUGUUUUGGGGCUGGUCUUCCUACCAUCUUUCCUACUAGGGCUCCCAAAGUGUGGCACUUCUGAGGUUUACAUGGUGCGCCCUGGGAAUAGCUUGGAUUUUUUAUCCAGAUCAUUGGACAUAAUGGAGUAGAUGGAGUCGGGGUGGUAGAGGAACAUAUACCCUCUCAGGGGGCAGAUGGGCUUCCAGAACUGACCAGCCCAACCUCUUUCUCACCACCCUGGUUCUAUUUUUAAAGACACCUCUCAAUAGCAGGAAAUCCUUCCUUUUGUCUACCUUCCAUCCCUUAUGCUUCAGUUUAAACCCAUUUCCUCUUCUUUCCAGAGAAGACAAAGUAUCUCAUCACCAGCUUUGGGCUGAAAUGUUUCGUAUUUUAGAUUCUUCCCUCCAUUCUCUGCCACUGCUUCUUCCUAGAUACCACUUUUCUGAAUCUGAACUCAUGGAUCUGUUAUCUUGUAACCCAUUUAUUGUUUUUGUGCCUCUUUUUAGAAUCUGCUAGUUUCCCAGCUCUUUUACUCAAACAUUAGUCUGAUUGCUACAGUGUCCAAUGGCAAGAAAUCUUAGUAUUUUUCACAUUCUUUACUCUUAUGUCUGCACUUUUGUAUCCAGCUUGCUUUAUAAAAAACCAGUGCUUCAUUGAUGACUCAUGCUCAGCUUGGUGUCCACUAGGAAUGUUACAUAUUUGUCAGCCAUCUUUGAGAGCAGUUAAACUUUCACUCCCAGUUGUCCUGAUGCCUCAUUUCUCCCAUCCUGGGUCCCCCUCUCGGUCCUUGUCCAUAUUGAGCUUAGCUCGCCAUUCCUGACACAAGUUCCCUGACUUCCUCUCCCCUUCCCCGGAUGACAGUGAGUUAUGACCUUGUCUCCGAAGGUGCCCCCUCCCUCUUGGCUCCUCUCCCAGUGACAACUUCAUGGAGGCUGAGAAAUAUAGUGAGUGGCCUUUCUUGCCUCACUUACUGCUCGGUAAGUUAGCUCAGGGGGAGAGCUGUUCAUAACUUUACACUGACAUCUGGAGAACAAAGGUUUUGGAGGAGCAGAGCCCAGAUUCCCUGGGAGCCAGCAGAGCCAAGUCUUUUUUGAGUUUCCAGCAAAACCUGUGUUAUAAUAAUAGGAGUGGGUCAUUGUGUUUAAUAGUACAACAAAACCUAAGUGCACAUAAUAAGCACAUCUUUUCUGUGUGCUGGGGUGAGGAGAGGUGACAGUGAGUGUGUAGGAUGAUAUGAAAAGUAUUACAGACAUGGGAAAGCAUCUCAAAGCACACAAAGGUGGCAUGAGUCAUCACAGGCUUAUGGCCACAAGGCUAGAUUUUCAAUCCCUGCUUCCCUUUUUUGUACCCCAGUUCAAUGAAGACAUAAUUGAAGUGGUGAGAAGAGGGACCACCGCUCUUCAGACUCCAGGGUAUUUGUAUCCCAGGACCCCUCUGUGGGUGUCAGCCCAGCGGUGCCCAGAGAAUAUCCCCUGAUUGGAUCUUUCUUGAAUUGACUUGUUCACUUCCCGUUCUGCCCAGCCUGGCCGUGACUCGGUAAUCCCCGCAAUAUGACCUCACAGUGGGCUGAGUGGCCUGGGGAAACUCAAGUUAGGGGCAGAAAUGGGGAAGCUGGAAAGUUGGGUGAUCAAGAGUGGUUCGGAAGCCUCUGUGUUUGUGUCAAUCUGCUUACAUCUCUGCCCACCAGCCACCACCACUUUCUCCCUGCCUGGGAGAGGUAGCUGGUCCCAUAGACAUUUGUGGGGUGCUUGUUUCUGUAUCUCCUUCCAGUGGACCAGAUCUCUCCAGGCCAUUUUUCUAGGUAACUAGGAAGGCCUGACUCUGUCAACAACUUGGCUUUCUUUGGAGCAGGUGUCACUCAGGGAUUAGUUAAAAGGGGACCAGUGGUAUUCACAUUGGCUUGUGGGUAUAUUUUCUCCUCCUCAAAUUAUAACCUUUUGGAGGGCAGGAAUCAUGUUUUAUUUUUUGUGCUUUCUUGGUGCCUCACAUAAUGCUGGUUCGUAUGUGGUAUUUAAUCUGUACUUUGCUUAGGCUGCUUGAUUGAGCAGAGAAAGGCUGGGAUUUGAAUGAAUGGAUCCCUGGAUCCCUGUCCAGGGAAGUUGUGAGGCUGGACAAGUUUAUUUCCUCCUUCUUCCCUGUGGAGAAAGUGAAAAAGCGAAAGGGUUGGGGUUGGGAUAGUGGGUGGUGUCUUUGUGGCCUUCACCCGAUGGCCAAGCAGUGAACUCCACUUGCAGCUUCUGUGUCGCUCACCUGGAAGCAGUGUUGGAGGAGAAGCAUGUUGGGGAGGAUCCUUAGGACCCCUAACUUUGGAGUUAGGGUUCAGAAGGGUCUGGGGCCUGCUUUCCUUUGGGUGGCUCUGACUGGCUCUGGGAUGAGUUUAAAAGGUGAUUUCCUCCCCCAUCUCUCUUUUCUUUUAUUUCUGUUUUGGUGUAUGUGUAUGCAAGACCUUUGAUAUUUGAGUAGGGAAAUCCUCUCUUAUCAGUGGAAUUCACAGCCUCUUAUGCCUUACCCUUUCAGUUUGCCGUAAAGACAGACCAACUAGAUUUGUUUGCACAACUCUUAAUUUUUUUUUCCU